rnacentral:rRNA from 1 species
CCUACGGGAGGCAGCAGUGGGGAAUAUUGCGCAAUGGGCGGAAGCCUGACCAAGCAACGCCGCGUGGGUGACGAAGUACCUUGGUACGUAAAACCCUUUUGGCAGGGACGAACUCCAUGACGGUACCUGCUGAAGAAGCCCCGGCUAACUUCGUGCCAGCAGCCGCGGUAAU